UGUUUAAAUAGCCUGUGGGAUUCCUC
rnacentral:piRNA from 1 species